AACGCACAUUGCGCCCUUUGGCAUUCCGAGGGGCAUGCCCGUUCGAGCGUCAUUAAAUCCACUCAAGCCUGGCUUGGUAUUGGGCGACGGGACCCCCCGCGCCUCCAUUUCGCCGGCUGGCCGUCGUUUGACUUAGCGUUGUGAUACAUGUCGCUGACGAUAAAGAUGGACCGCGCCGUAACAAACCCCUUGGGCGCUCGCGUCCAGUAAAGAUUGACCUCGGAUCGGGUAGGAAUACCCGCUGAACUUAA
rnacentral:misc_RNA from 1 species